rnacentral:rRNA from 1 species
AAUCAACGCUGGCGGCGUGCCUAACACAUGCAAGUCGAACGAGAAAGUGGAGCAAUCCAUGAGUACAGUGGCGUACGGGUGAGUAACACGUGACUAACCUACCCUCGAGUGGGGAAUAACCUCGGGAAACCGGGGCUAAUACCGCAUAACAUCUACGGAUCAAAUGCGUAAGCAGCUUGAGGAGGGGGUCGCGGCUGAUUAGCUAGUUGGCGGGGUAAUGGCCCACCAAGGCAGUGAUCAGUAGCCGGCCUGAGAGGGCGCACGGCCACACUGGAACUGAAACACGGUCCAGACUCCUACGGGAGGCAGCAGUGGGGAAUUUUGCGCAAUGGGGGAAACCCUGACGCAGCAACGCCGCGUGGAGGAUGAAGCCCCUUGGGGUGUAAACUCCUUUCGAUCGGGACGAUUAUGACGGUACCGGAUGAAGAAGCACCGGCUAACUCUGUGCCAGCCGCCGCCGUAAAAC